UCUCUAGUCAAGGACAGUGCCAAUUAUGAGUGGAGAGUUUUGCUAAAAGUGUGUGUGAAUGUGUCUUCUUUGGUUUAGGUAGACUCUGAUACCUAAUCAUGGGAGGAAAUUAAAACGGCCUGGCACCAAUUUGGAUUUUUUUGUUAAAUUUGAAGUAGAAAUUAGGUUCUUUCAGAUAACUACAUUAGUUCUCUUGGUUCUAUGAUGUGUUGAAGAAUGUUCACUGAUUUAACUAUAAUUUCAGGAUCAUCUGUUUCCUCUUUUUGAUGCUUUGUCCUUAUCUUGUAAACUUCUUAAGUCUCUGGUCAUAAGAAUUCUGCCAGCAGUAACCAGGGAGCUUCCUUCCUUGUCCACGGAACAUC
rnacentral:lncRNA from 1 species